rnacentral:rRNA from 1 species
UACGUAGGCAGCGAGCGUUGUUCGGAGUUACUGGGCGUAAAGGGUGUGUAGGCGGUUUUCUAAGUUUGGUGUGAAAUCUCCCGGCUUGACCGGGAGGGUGCGCCGAAAACUGGGAGACUAGAGUGCGGGAUGGGAGAGUAGAAUUCCUGGUGUAGCGGUGAAAUGCGUAGAUAUCAGGAGGAAUACCGGUGGUGCAGACGGCUCUCUGGACCGCAACUGACGCUGAGACACGAAAGCGUGGGUAGCAAACAGG